rnacentral:tRNA from 1 species
CUGUCCGUAGCACAAUAGGAUAAUGCACCCGACUCCGACUCGGGAGACUGCGAGUUCGAUUCUCGCCGGGCAGGCCA